UUACUUAUUUUUUUAAGGUGGCGCUGAGGAUUGAACCCAGUGCCUUGCACAUGCUAGGCAAGUGCUCUACCACUGAGCCACGACCCCAGCACCCCUCCCGCUUCUUGAUCAAGGAAGUUCUUAUUAAGUUGCUGAGGCUGACUGAAACUUGUGAACCUCCUGACUUAGCCUCCUGAGUCGCUGGGAUUACAGUUCUCGGCGGACACAACAUCUUUGUUGGUAUGUGGUGCUGAGGAUUGAACCCAGGCCGUACGCAUGCCAGACGAGCGCGCUACUACCUGAGCCACAUUCCCAGCCCCUCUAUUAUUGAUUUCUAAUUUAAUUCCACUGUGAUCAGAGAACAUACUUUAUAUACUUCGAAUUCUUUCAAAUGUGUACAGAUUGUUUUAUGACCAAGAAUAUGGCCUUU
rnacentral:lncRNA from 1 species